rnacentral:rRNA from 1 species
GAUGAACGCUGGCGGCGUGCUUAACACAUGCAAGUCGAACGAGCCUUCGGGUUAGUGGCGGACGGGUGAGUAACGCGUGAGAAUCUGCCCUCAGGAGGGGGAUAACGGCUGGAAACGGCCGCUAAUACCCCAUAUGCCGAGAGGUGAAAUGAAUUUCGCCUGAGGAUGAGCUCGCGUCUGAUUAGCUAGUUGGUGUGGUAAAGGCUCACCAAGGCUUCGAUCAGUAGCUGGUCUGAGAGGAUGAUCAGCCACACUGGGACUGAGACACGGCCCAGACUCCUACGGGAGGCAGCAGUGGGGAAUUUUCCGCAAUGGGCGCAAGCCUGACGGAGCAACGCCGCGUGAGGGAUGAAGGCCUCUGGGCUGUAAACCUCUUUUCUCAAGGAAGAAGAUCUGACGGUACUUGAGGAAUAAGCCACGGCUAAUUCCGUGCCAGCAGCCGCGGUAAUACGGGAGUGGCAAGCGUUAUCCGGAAUUAUUGGGCGUAAAGCGUCCGCAGGCGGCCUUGAAAGUCUGUCGUUAAAGCGUGGAGCUUAACUCCAUUUCGGCGGUGGAAACUACAAGGCUUGAGUGUGGUAGGGGCAGAGGGAAUUCCCGGUGUAGCGGUGAAAUGCGUAGAUAUCGGGAAGAACACCAGUGGCGAAGGCGCUCUGCUGGGCCAUAACUGACGCUCAUGGACGAAAGCCAGGGGAGCGAAAGGGAUUAGAUACCCCUGUAGUCCUGGCCGUAAACGAUGAACACUAGGUGUCGGGGGAAUCGACCCCCUCGGUGUCGUAGCUAACGCGUUAAGUGUUCCGCCUGGGGAGUACGCACGCAAGUGUGAAACUCAAAGGAAUUGACGGGGGCCCGCACAAGCGGUGGAGUAUGUGGUUUAAUUCGAUGCAACGCGAAGAACCUUACCAGGGUUUGACAUCCUGCGAAUCCCUUGGAAACUAGGGAGUGCCUUCGGGAGCGCAGAGACAGGUGGUGCAUGGCUGUCGUCAGCUCGUGUCGUGAGAUGUUGGGUUAAGUCCCGCAACGAGCGCAACCCACGUCUUUAGUUGCCAGCAUUUAGUUGGGCACUCUAGAGAGACCGCCGGUGAUAAACCGGAGGAAGGUGUGGAUGACGUCAAGUCAUCAUGCCCCUUACAUCCUGGGCUACACACGUACUACAAUGCUACGGACAAAGGGUUGCAAACUCGCGAGAGCUAGCUAAUCCCAUAAACCGUGGCUCAGUUCAGAUCGUAGGCUGCAACUCGCCUACGUGAAGGAGGAAUCGCUAGUAAUCGCAGGUCAGCAUACUGCGGUGAAUACGUUCCCGGGCCUUGUACACACCGCCCGUCACACCAUGGAAGUUGGCCACGCCCGAAGUCGUUACUCCAACCCGUAAGGGAGGAGGAUGCCGAAGGUGGGGCUGAUGACUGGGGUG